AACGAACGCUGGCGGCAUGCUUAACACAUGCAAGUCGAACGAGCCCUGCCUGUCUAUGUGCGCGCUGGGGCGUGACGCGUGGGGACCUGCCCUUCGGGUCGGACUAACUCCCUGCAAGGGGUUCUACUACCGGAUAGUGUCUUCGUACCAAAGAUUUAUCGCCGUUGGAUGGGCCGGCGGGGGAUUAGCUUGUUGGUAGGGUAAAAGCCUGCCAAGGCGACGAUCCAUAGCUGGGCUGAGAGGCUGAGAAACCACACUGGGACUGAGACACGGCCCAGACGGGUAAGAGAGGAAGCAGUGGGGAAUACUGGAGAAGGGGCGCAAGGCUGAUGCAGCAAGGUCGCGUGAGUGAUGAAGGCUUUAGGGUUGUAAAGCGCUUUGACCCGGGAUGAUAAUGACAGUACCGGGAGAAGAAGCGCCGGCUAACUACGUG
rnacentral:rRNA from 1 species